rnacentral:ribozyme from 1 species
CCGCCCACGGCGUGGUGGUGGGCGAGGGCCUGGCCAGCCUGCUGAACGGCGCCGUGCUCCCCGCGGCGGCG